CAGGACGAGCCGCAGACAAAACUCCUUAGACACCGGAUUGAAGAAGGCAGACUUGCGUCUCAAAAGCCGAGCUCACCGCAAUUCUAUGAAAGAAAAAAAUCCCAUUUUCCCAGGGAGAAACUGAACCAUUCUGACCUCUGGUUAUGGCUGUCAUCCAAACAGUUUAUAUAACCUGUCUGGGAAAUUGAAGAUUGUUCAUAUCUAACUCUGCAGUUACAAAAGGACCAUGUCUCAUGGAAUUAUCCACGCUCAGAUCUUCCGCAUGGCUCAAAACCAUUUUUGGGAUAUGAGACAGGGUCUCACUAUGUUGCUCAGGCUGGUCUCAAACUCCUGGCCUCAAGCGAUCCUCCCACUUUGGACUCCUAGGAUUACAGGUGUGAGCCACCAUGCCGGCCUCUGUCAAGUCUUAUUACUUUAAAUUAUUUACCUCUGUUUGUUUAUAUAUACUUACAUACUCUGAUGGUUUAAAAGAAUAUGCAGUGAAAAUUAAGUCUCCUUCCCAUCCUCUGCACCCUGGGCACCCAGGAUCCUUUCUUAACAACCACUGUUACCAGUUUAUUGUUAACAUAGGUUUUAAUGCACUAGAAAUGUAGUAUCAGAGCACCAUCAAAAUAGUAACAGAGUGUUGUAUAUCUCCCCUGUAAGAGUCACAGCCCACACCUCUACAACAAACACAGGGUAACAAGAGAAAAGCAAAACAGCUGGGCACAGUGGCUCAUGUCUGUAAUCCCAGCACUUUGGGAGGCUGAAGUGGGAGGAUUGCUUGAGGCCAGUAGUUCGAGGCUGCAAGUCAGCUAUAAUUGCACUACUCCACUCUAGCCUGGGUGACAGAGCGAGACUCCACCUCUA
rnacentral:lncRNA from 1 species